rnacentral:rRNA from 1 species
GACGAACGCUGGCGGCGCGCUUAACACAUGCAAGUCGAGCGGUAAGGCCUCUUCGGGGGUACACGAGCGGCGAACGGGUGAGUAACACGUGGGUGACCUGCCCCCUACUCUGGGAUAAGCCUGGGAAACUGGGUCUAAUACCGGCUAUGACCUCCUGCUGCAUGGUGGGUGGUGGAAAGUUCUUUCGGUGGGGGAUGGGCCCGCGGCCUAUCAGCUUGUUGGUGGGGUGGGGGGCUACUAAGGCGACGACGGGCGGCCGUCCUGAGAGGGCGACCGACCAAAGUGGGACUGAGACACGGCCCAGGCUCCGACGAGAGGCAGCAGUGGGGAAUAUUGCGAAAGGGGCGGAAGCCUGACGCAGCGACGCCGCGUGGGGGAUGACGUCCUUCGGGUUGUAAACCGCUUUCAGUUGGGACGAUGAUGACGGUACCUGAAGAAUAAGUCACGGCUAACUACGUGCCAGCAGCCGCCGUAAAAC